rnacentral:rRNA from 1 species
UACAGAGGGUGCGAGCGUUGUUCGGAAUUAUUGGGCGUAAAGGGCGCGUAGGCGGUGCGGUAAGUCACCUGUGAAAUCUCCUGGCUCAACUGGGAGCUUGCAGGCGAAACUGCCGUGCUGGAGUGUGGGAGAGGUGCGUGGAAUUCCUGGUGUAGCGGUGAAAUGCGUAGAUAUCGGGAGGAACACCAGUGGCGAAGGCGGCACUCUGGGCCGGUACUGACGCUGAGGAGCGAAAGCGUGGGGAGCGAACAGG